rnacentral:lncRNA from 1 species
UGGCCCAAAUUGAAUGGCAAUCCCUUGCCAAUACAAUAGAGCAAAACGUCGUGCUGUACUGUGAUGACAGUAGAAUUUGAUGACACCACCCAAUUGAAUGUCAUGAUUUUGAAUAAGGCCGAGUACAGAUAGGUCAGGUUCGAGGCUUUCAUUGGCUUCAUCCACCUCUUCAGCUUGCCACCUCUGAUCACUUCUACCACUUUAU